ensembl:lncRNA
CACGAAUUCUCCAUUCAGCCCACUGCACGCAUUCUCCUUCAUCUUCUGCAAGACACAAAUGCAAACAUAAGAAAUGAAUGUGCGAAAUCAUAACACUUAGAUUUAUCUGCCAGUUUACGUCUACCCGCCUGUCCAAACAGUGGCGGUUGUCAUAUUAAAUCUAGGCACUAAGGCCACAUACAGCUGAUGCUCAUGAAGUAAGGCAGAUAAGAAACUGAUAACUACUGAUUUCUCCUUUCCUGGCACAGUCCUUAACAUAUGUAAUGAGGCUAAAAACUUAUAACAUUACAUAACUGACGACCAGUCUAAUGACCGUGAAAUUUGCAGGCAGUAUCGUAUGAUGUAUGCACAAGCUAAUAUGCUUAUCGGAAAAUUUGGUAUGUGUUCAUCUUCUGUGAAAAUAACACUUGCUGCUUCUUGCUACAAAAGAAGCGGCAUUCAAUUAUGGUAUGAGGCUACAACUCAAAGUGCCUAGAUGGAGUAGCACAAGCCUUCCGUUUGUGAAUGUUGAUGUGCCAACUUGUCCUGCUGUUCUCAGAAACCUUAUGCAUAGAUGUAUGUGUAGACUACUGUGUCUUGCAACAAGUAAGGGAUAAUGGACCACGUUAGACUAUCAAAAGUUAAUACACGCUCUAGAUGAUAAUGCGGCCCCAAAGCGGAGGGCCGAUCCAAUGUGUUCAAUGCGCCCUCUGGAGGCGCCCUUAAUUAAUUAAAAUAUACGAAACAAGCGAAAUUAAACCAAACGUGUUCCAAAAUGGAACAGAGAAGGGAGGGGGCCGGGGAUUAAAGUUAGGGCGCACUGAAACCCUCACCGUAGUACGCAGGACAAUGCGACAAAGCCAUCUAUCCCACUCUAUAGAAAAUAUCGAGAUAUAUCGCCAUUCAGCCAAAAAAUAUCGGGAUAUCAUAUUUUGCCCAUAUCGUGCAGCCCUAAUCUGAAUACAGACGUCGCAAAACCUCUACAUCCAGCUCUCCAACAAGAAGUUGACAACGAAGACCUUGCGGAUGGCACAAGCAGGCGAUUUGUUCACUGAUGCAUUUUCAAUGCAAAAACCCUGACAACCAAUUGGAAUACAGACGCUGCAAACCCUCUCCAUCCAGCUCUCCGAGAAGCAGUUGACAACAACGGAGACCCUACAGAUAACACAAGCCCGUGAUUGUUUCACUUGCUCCAAAUUAAACGACCAUUCAAAGCUCACGGCAGAAAAGAUGGCACAGGUGUGGAAGGUCGUCGAAUUCAAAGAUAGGAGCACUACCAUAGUGCCAAGCAGCUGGUUGGAGGAGGCAGGGGAGUCAUGGAAUUGUUUCUGGCCUCCUAGUUCUUAUGAUCAUAUCCGCCUCCAGAAGGCAGUCGCGCACCACCUUCCUCCAGGUGCAGCGUGGGACGUGCACGGUGACGUGAGGGUCUUGGUUAGCUGUGGCCAAAGUCACGCUACCUGCAGGAGCCAGCUGGAAGAGUCCAGACCACUACGGGCCCGCCGCAACACUUUUUUGAAGGUGUGGACACUGAUGACGAGGCACCACCCCCCCCAAGAAAAACAGCACGACAAUCUGUAGAUGUAGGGCCAGACAUCAGUAGUGAGUGGCUAUUUGGGCCAUCGACCACCCAAAGAGCUCAAUCAAAUGGCAGCCAGAGACUUGAGCUACUACAUAUAGAUAGUCCAACCAAGCCACCAGCUAUUGCAUGAUAUGGGAAUAUCUAAAGUCGUGGAGCUGCUUUCCAAAGUGCUGGAAGAAAAUAAAUUGAUGAAAGCAGAAAUUACCAACCUGGGGAGUGAAGUGAGGGCGCUUAGGAGAGAGAUGGUGAGGCCGGUAGCACCAGAAGCUGCCGCUUCGUCCAUCAAGCUGCCUCUGAGGACAAUGGAGGAGUUUCAAUUAGCAGAGGCUGUUAUGAGAGAAACCCCCUGCGAAAAACAAAAGAUGAUCUUAACAUUCAGUCUAAUUGGAGGGCACACUGCAGAAGAGGCCGUAAGAAGGAUGUUGCAGAGUGGCCUAACAAAUAACCUGGCGUGUCGCUUCAACUGGGCAGGGAAAGGCUUCAAGGAAGCCUUUAAAAGCACUGUCCUUAGUGAUGUACUGUUCGCUGCACUACAAAAACAGCUGCCAGGGACCACCCAUAUUGUUUUUUCAGGGACACUGAAGAAGUGGCUUAAAUAUGCACCGGAGAGAGAGGGAGGUGGAGGGAGGCGAACAAAUGAACGCGAUCAGGCGCCGCAGGAUCCUCGACCAUGAAUGAAUGUGUGUGUGUAAAUAAUAAUUAUAUUCGUUAGAAUAAUAGGGUUAUUUGGGGUUGGGUUGUUCGUGUUCGGUUAUCACGUUGUAUUGUUCAUUAUUGUCGCCAUCGUUGUUGUGUCAUGUUUGUUUGUUGGGUGCUCUAUGUGAGAGGAUUUUAAUAAAAGUAGUCUGCGUCGAGGGGUGUACGGGGCGCAGAACUACAGUUAAAUAAAGUCUGACUGUGCGUUUC